GAUCUCCCCCAAAUCUUGCAGUUUGGGCCCCAGAUCUUGCAACAUGGACUGCUUCCAUGGUUCUGAGCGAGGUCCCUCCCAGGUAAGGAGAUAAUCCCCCUCCUCUCAUUGCUAGUUUUAGGUCAGGUUUGGGAAGAAUCAGCUGCGAACGAAAAGGAACAAUUAGGCUACGAACUAAAUGAUAUGUGCCCUUCUUUUUUUUCCAUAUUCGAUAGGAUUGAUCCCGAUGUCGCGUUUAGCAUGUGUGUUCAGAUUCGUUCGUUCAUAUCCAAGUUGGAUGACGGCACUUGUGUUGUUGUGUCGUGCAAAUAUGAUGAAUGUAUUUUAGACUAUCGCUGUUGUAGCUUGGAGACUAUGGGAAAUGACUUGGCAGCAAGGGUGAAGUGGGGAAGCUGCCAACAGCCUGUGGUGUGGGGAUAUGACAAGAGCACCAGUGAGGUUCAGGGGUUAUUGCACAACUGAGUGUUGUCCAUGGGCUAUUGUGGCAAGGUUGAUGCAUGAUGAAAAAUCUGUCAGAAUACUAACUGCUAACUUUGCAUAUUUAUGUAACUUGUCAACUUUAUGUUACUAACCAAUAUCUCUCACCAUGCAAAUUCAAAAGCUAAACCUUGAUUGGAAAAAGCAUCAUAAUCUGCUUUGGAUGAGAUGCAAAUUCUCAGAAGAAAUAAAGUGCGACUAUAUUACUAACAAUCUUGCAAAGUGUUGGAACAAAUAGGUAAAAGAUAUUAAGGAUCUUCCAAUUGCUGAGUUUGCAGACACCCUGGGGUAAAAAACAAUGGAACUCUAUGCAAAGAGGAGAAAAAUAGGUGAGAGACUUGAAGGUGAUAUGCUCCCUAUUGUAACUCGUCAACUCAAUGCAAUGAUUAGGUGCUUGGGACACUAGAAGGUCAAAGAAUGUGGUAGGGAUCAAGCAGAGGUAACUGAAAUCACUGCUGACCAUGAUAUUAUUAGGCAUGUAGUGUAUCUUAAGAACCAUACAUGCACCUGCAGAGAAUGGCAAGUUUCUGAGAAACCAUACCCACAUGUACUGGCACUGAUAAUAACAUGUAGAAACCCUAAGAGGGAUGAAUAUCUGCAUCCUUAUUAUUCAGUGUACAAAUAUAGGUUAGCAUAUGCAGGUGUUAUUCAACCAUUAACAAACAAGUCUCAAUGGGCCAAUGUAGAACUCGGUUUUAAGUUGUUGCCACCUCUGGUAAAGAGAUCAGUAGGGAGCAAAAGGAAAAACAUGAUACCUGGGUGUCUGGAGAAAGGAAAGGGCAAGCCUAUGACCAAAGGGAAGUGGCAGGUGUAGUGUAAGAGAUGUUUAGCUCUUGGGCAUGGACAAACAUCCUCGAAGUGCCCUUUCAAUGGAGCAAAGAAAAGAAAGAGUCUUGCCAAGCAAGGAAGACCACUUGGUUCAACCAUGGAUGCUGCUGGUACUAGCACACCCAAAAGACAGAAGGUGGCCAAUCAAAAUGAUUCAAGCACCUAGUCUUGUGCGUAUCACAAGAAGGUAAUUGGCAUUGAGCAUGGCUGAAGGACAAGGCACAAGUU